rnacentral:rRNA from 2 species
CCUUGGGUAAAAGAAAAAAAAAGAGAGAGGGAAAACUAAGAUGGGCUAAAUUGGACGGAAAAUUCGAAAGAGCGAAGAAGAAGCUUUAAACUCGUGUUUCAAUGCGAAGACGCAAUGAAGAGAACUGAAAAAUGAAACAUCUUAGUAUCAGAGUGGUACAGAGAAAUCAAACGAGAUUCCGUAAGUAGCGGGGAGCGAAAGCGGAGGAGUCCCAGAGAGUGAGUAAAUAGUGGAAGAAAGGAGUUCACAUAUCUAAGACUAAAUGUUAGUCCAUACUGAAAGCGCGAGUACUGUGAAGGAAAGUUGAAAGAGACUUGAAAAGAUCUGGAAAUCUGUCUUUUAAAGCAGCUGUAAAACAGUGUACCUUUUGUAUAAUGGGUUUAUGAGAUAUCAUUUGGCAAAUUUAAGUAAACUUUCUUGAGGAUAAAAAUGUAGGUGAAGAGAAGUCGAGAAGGCUCUUUAGUCAAAUUUCCCGAAACCAAGUGAUCUAACCAUGGGCUGUUUUUAAGAACGAACCGGUGGUUGUAGCAAAAACCUCGGAUGACCUGUGGUUAGGGGGGAAAGCCCAAUCGGACUUGGAGAUAGCUGGUUUUCUGCGAAAACUAUUGAAGUAGUGCGUUCACAUAGGGUAUUUUUUUAUUUGAUGCCUUAUUAAAAUUUCAGGGUAAAGACUUAUCGCUUUAAGGGGGAUAGACUUUGAAGGUGAAAUUCGAAGUGGACAGACAGACAAGGGGUAAAUAGGUCCGUUGUUAAAAGGGGAGAGCCCAAAUCAGAAGUUAAAGUUAGAGAUUCAAUAAUUAAGUGUAAAAGGAGUAUGGGAUUUAGACAAUGAGGAGGUAGGCUUGGAGCCAGCCAUCUUUGAAAGAAUGCGUAGUAGUUCACUCAAGAACUCUUUUUCCCCAAAAAUUAUGGUGGCUAAAAAUUGAACUGAAAUUCUGAGGGCAGUAAGUAAUUUGCUUGGUAGUAGAACAGACUGUUGGGUGGUGGUGAGAACCCAAGAAUCAGAAGAGAUAAUGUGAACAUGAGUAAAAAAAGUAUUGCUUCAUCUCCCCUGGUUUCCAAGUCUAAGGACUAUUUUUAGAUUAGUCUAAAGACUUUGGGUAAAACAGCCUCUAAGGAGGUUAUCGAUGGGUGAUAAUAAUAAACGCAUAAAGUGCCAGGAAAUAAUUAUAACAAAAGAUUACUGUCGCAAACUAACACAAGUGGGAGAUAGUGAGGGGGAAAGUUUUUUUAAGGAACUCGGCCAAUUUUUAGCUCUCAUUAGAGGGUUAAACACAAGGCCUCGACUGUUUACCAAAAACAUAGCUCUUUGCUAAUAUGAAGGUAGAAGUAUGAAGGGUGAGACCUGCCCAAUGGUUGUAUCUAAAAGGGUUGGUAGAGCCAACUUUAUAAAGACAAUUUAAUGGCCGCGGUAACACUGACCGUGAUAAUGUAGCGUAAUCAAUAGUCAAUUAAUUGUUGGCCGGUAUGAAUGGUGUCACGAGGGUCUCACUGUCUUAAGAAAAUUUCCAGUGAAAUUGAAUUUGUAGUGAAGAUGCUACAUCCAAAUUGUUAGACAAGAAGUCCCCAUGGAACUUUACUGGAAACUUAUGUGGCUUAAAUUAUUUCUUACAAUAAAUAGUUUUAAAAUGUGGUGUUAACUCGAGGUUUAUUAGGGUUAGAAAAGCUCACUCUUUUAUUUUAAGAAAAGCAACUCAAAAACUUAUGUUUUUGGGAUUUGAUAAGUGGGACAGUUUGGUUGGGGCGACCGCCUUUAAAAAAGUAACGAAGGCGGGCUUAAGAUACAUAUUUAGUUAUGUCUGACUGCCAAGGGGGAAUCCUGAGCAGACACUUAUUUUUGGAUACAAGUUUAUAGACUAUAGUUGGAUUUAAGAACUAUCAGGGAAAUAGUUGAUGAGAAUAGGUGGGUUUAAGUGACCCGUUAAUUUAGGGUGAAAUAGUUAACGAUAAACAAAUAAAAGUUACCCUGGGGAUAACAGCGCAAUAACGUUAGAGAGUUUUCAUCGACGACGAUGUUUGCGACCUCGAUGUUGAAUUGCGGCAUCCUGGGGUGCAGUCGCUCCCAAGGGUUGGUCUGUUCGUCCAUUAAAGCCGUACAUGAUUUGAGUUAAAAGCGUGGUAACACAGCUUGGUUUCUAUCUACAAUUUGAAGAAACAUUAAUAUAACUAUUUUCUAGUACGAAAGGAUCGAAAAAUUAGUGGUUCUCUUAUUUUUAUAAGUUACAAUCAAUUGAUUGACUCGGAUACUUUUUAAAGGGGUCUUUUGGUUAAUUGCUGAUUGCUUCUAAAGUAUGAAAAUUAUAUUAAGUUGUUUGAAGUCCUGAAGAGGAAUCGUUCAUUAU